rnacentral:rRNA from 1 species
UACGUAGGUGGCAAGCGUUGUCCGGAUUUACUGGGCGUAAAGAGCGCGCAGGCGGUCGUUCAAGUCGCGUGUGAAAGCCCCCGGCUCAACUGGGGAGGGUCACGCGAUACUGAUCGACUGGAAGGCAGGAGAGGGUAGUGGAAUUCCCGGUGUAGUGGUGAAAUGCGUAGAUAUCGGGAGGAACACCAGUGGCGAAGGCGGCAUCCUGGACCGAUACUGACGCUGAGGAGCGAAAGCCAGGGGAGCAAACGGGG